GCUAUUGGAGUUCGAUUAAGCCAUGCGAGUCGAGAGUCUUAGGGACUCGGCGUACCGCUCAGUAACACGUGGGUAACCUGCCCUAUGCUGGGGAAUAACCUCGGGAAACUGAGAAUAAUGCCCCAUAGUCCACAAUGCCUGGAACGGUUUGUGGAUCAAAGCUCCGGCGGCAUAGGAUGGGCCUGCGGCGUAUCAGGUUGUAGGGGGUGUAACGUACCCUCUAGCCAUCAACGCGUACGGGUGUUGGGAGACAUAGCCCGGAGAUGGAUUCUGAGACACGAAUCCAGACCCUACGGGGUGCAGCAGGCGCGAAAACUUGGCAAUGCGAGAAAUCGUGACCAGGGAACUCCAAGUGGCUGGGGUAAGACCCAGUCUUUUCUUGACUCUUCAAAGGUCUUGGAAUAAGGGGUGGGUAAGGACGGUGCCAGCCGCCGCGGUAAUACCGGCGCCUCAAGUGGUAGUCGAUUUUAUUGGGCCUAAAACGUCCGUAGCCUGUUUGGUACAUUCGUGGGUAAAUCAACCAGCUCAACUGGUUGAAUUCUGCGAGCACGGCCAGACUUGGGACCGGGAGGGGUGUGGGGUACGCUCAGGGUAGGGGUAAAAUCCUGUCAUCCUGAGCGGACCACCUGUUGCGAAGGCGCCACACUAGAACGGAUCCGACGGUCAGGGACGAAGCCUAGGGGCACGAACCGGAUUAGAUACCCGGGUAGUCCUAGGUGUAAACGCUGUGGACUUGGUGUUGGGGACUCUCCGAGAUUCCUCAGUGCCGAAGCGAAGGUGAUAAGUCCACUGCCUGGGGAGUACGGUCGCAAGGCUGAAACUUAAAGGAAUUGGCGGGGGAGCACCGC
rnacentral:rRNA from 1 species